rnacentral:rRNA from 1 species
UUUCCGGUUGAUCCUGCCGGAGGCCAUUGCUAUCGGAGUCCGAUUUAGCCAUGCUAGUCGUGCGAGUUCAGACUCGCGGCGCAUAGCUCAGUAACACGUGGCCAAGCUACCCUUCAGUCAGCGAUACCCUCGGGAAACUGAGGUUAACAGCUGAUACAAAACGUCAGCUGGAAUGCGGCGUUUCAGAAAGAGAUCGCUGAAGGAUGCGGCUGCGGCCGAUUAGGUAGACGGUGGGGUAACGGCCCACCGUGCCAGUAAUCGGUACGGGUGAUGAGAGUCAGAGCCCGGAGACGGAAUCUGAGACAAGAUUCCGGGCCCUACGGGGCGCAGCAGGCGCGAAACCUUUACACUGCACGGAAGUGCGAUAGGGGAAUCCCAAGUGCGAGGGCAUAUUAGCCCUCGCUUUUCUCGACUGUAAGGUGGUCGACGAAUAAGAGCUGGGCAAGACCGGUGCCAGCCGCCGCGGUAAUACCGGCAGCUCAAGUGAUGUCCCAUAUUAUUGGGCCUAAAGCGUCCGUAGCUGGCCGACCAAGUCUCCCGGGAAAUCCACCCGCCCAACGGGUGGGCGUCCGGUAGAAACUGGCCGGCUUGGAACCGGAAGGCUCAGAGAGUACGUCCGGGGUAGGAGUGAAAUCCCGUAAUCCCGGACGGACUACCGAUGGCGAAAGCACUCUGAGAAGACGGCUUCGACAGUGAGGGACGAAAGCUCGGGUCUCAAACCGGAUUAGAUACCCGGGUAGUCCGAGCUGUAAACGAUGCUCGUUAGGUGUGGCACCCACUACGAGUGGGUGCUGCGCCGUAGGGAAGCCGCUAAACGAGCCGCCUGGGAAGUACGUCCGCAAGGAUGAAACUUAAAGGAAUUGGCGGGGGAGCACUACAACCGGAGGAGCCUGCGGUUUAAUUGGAUUCAACGCCGGGA